UUGGAGGGCAAGUCUGGUGCCAGCAGCCGCGGUAAUUCCAGCUCCAAUAGCGUAUAUUAAAGUUGUUGCAGUUAAAAAGCUCGUAGUUGAAUUUCGGGAUCAAUUUGUUGGUCGUGCUUCUGUACGUACUGGUAUUAUUGGUUUCUCCCUUCUGAAGAACCUUGAUGUCAUUAAUUUGGUGUCUUGGGGAAUCAGGACUGUUACUUUGAAAAAAUUAGAGUGUUUAAAGCAGGCA
rnacentral:rRNA from 1 species